CUAAGUCAGCCCCGAGGAAAAGAAAUCAACCGACGAUUCCCCCAGUAGCGGCGAGGCGAACGGGAGGAGACCCAGAACCUGAAUCGGCUUGUGUGUUAGUGGAAGCGUCUGGAAAGUCGCGCAGCAAAGGGUGAUAGCCCCGUACACUAAAUGCACAGGUCGUGAGUUCGAUGAGUAGGGCGGGACACGUGACAUCCUGUCUGAAUAUGGGGGGACCAUCCUCCAAGGCUAAAUACUCCUGACUGACCGAUAGUGAACCAGUACCGUGAGGGAAAGGCGAAAGAACCCCGGCGAGGGGAGUGAAAUAGAACCUGAAA
rnacentral:rRNA from 1 species